UCAUGCCUCUAAAGUUCCGGAACAUGCGUCUGUGGGGCCCAGGCAACCAGUCCAGGAGACUUGGGAAGAUGUUGUAUAACUGGGGGAAGGAGCAGAGUUGGCAGGACUUCGCAUCUUGCUGUGCAGUGAAGAAUGGCUCUGAAUUCAUGAUCCUCCUGUCUCAGCCUUCUGAGUACUAAUGAAUUUUCAAAGAGAGUUCCUGGAGCUGCAGGUGACUGAUUUUGUUUGAACUUUGUAGUGCUGAGAUGGAACUGAGGUCUUGUGCACACUAGGCAAGUACUUCAUCCCUGUCCCAAGUCCCCAGACUCUUAUUGGGGGAUUCUAGGCAGGUGCUCUCACACUGAGCCACACCCCAGCCCCUCACUGGGGGAUUCUAGGCAGGUGCUUUCACACUGAGCCACACCCCCAGCCCCUCACUGGGGGAUUCAAGGCAGGGGCUCCACCACUGAGCCGAUCCGCAGUUCUGUGGUGGUAGUGUUUUCUUUCUUUAAAGUUUUUUCUUUUAUAAAGUAAUAUAACUAAGAAAUAGAAGGGUGAACCACAUGAAGUCAAUAGGAAACGCCCAAAGAUGGAUUGUUCUGGUGGGAUGUCUGAAAAAUAGAAAGUACCUGCUACAUAUGAACGUAUGCUAGGGGCUUUUCAGAGUCUAGGGUGAAUUAAUAUUUAUGGCUGCUAUUCUGAAAUUAAAACUGAAGUAAUUAUAAACCCCACGAGAAAUAAAAUGGUAAAACCAAUAUAUAUAUAUAUAUACAUACAUACGUAUAUGUGUAUUUAAGUUUUAGUUAUGUGUUGUGUGUGUAUCUCUCAGUGUAUGUGCACAUGUGUGCUGAUAUCCAUGCAAGUCAGAGGGGAUGCAGGAUCCUUUGGAGCUGGAAGAUGCAAACUACCUCGUGGGUGAUGGGAACCGAACUCAAGUCCUCUGCAAGAGCAGCGGGUGCUCUUAAUCUCUGGACCAUCACUCCAGCACACUUGCCCCUCACCCUCUGCCAUUUUUUUAAAUUUUUUUUGAGACAUGGUUUCAUGUAUCCUAGGCUGGUUUCAAACUUACUACUUAGCCAAGGAUGAUCUUGAACUCCUGGUCCUCCUGCCUCCACCUCCUAAGUUCUGGGGUUACAGCUAUGUACUACCACUUCCAGGCUCAGCUGUGGUGAUUUUACCCAACAUUUUAAGUUAGAUUUAUUCAUUUUAUUUUUUGUGUGUGUUUUCCUGAGUGUGUGUGUGUGUGUGUGUGUGUGUGUGUGUGUGUGUGCAUGCAUGAUGCCUGUGAAAGUCAGGAAGGGCACUGGAUUUCCUGGAACGGGAGCUAUAGGUGUUGAUGAAACACCAUGUAGGUGCUGGGAAUUGAACCUGGGUCCUCUGCAAGAACACCUGCUCUUAACUGCUCUGCUACCUCUCCAGCCCAGCUGGGCUCUGAGUGCUGCAGGCAACACAACAGAGCUGUGACCAUAGGGGGACCUCCGAGACUCCCAUGCCCAUUAACCCCCAGGAGGGACAGUUCCCACCAUGGGCGGAGAGAGGCCUCCAAGAGUUUCUGUUCACACCCAGGCUCUGGAGCUCAAAAGUAGGAUGGAUGCGACCCCCGGGGCGUGGUCUGACCUUCCGUUUUCCGUAGCACCUCCAGCAGGAAGCUUCCCUCUUCCAGGAUCCGCUCCUCGAUGCUUCUUUUUCCCAUCCCAAAGUUGCGCAGGAUUUGAACCGAGAACCUUCUGAGGACCUUCCAGCGCUCUCCAUUGGAGAAGGCAAUGCCUGGGGAGGGGAAGGAGAAUGGCAAACUCAACAGCCAAUCAGCCCAUCCUGAAAACACAGCUACUGAUUGGAAUCAUCUCUUCCUGAUGGCCUGUCGGAUCUGCAAAAGUCUAGAGGAGAGAGGAGAUGGGGGCAGGCUUACCAUCGCCCUUGGUGAAGUUGAAGAAGACCGGGUAUGAGCCACGGCCACUGAACUCCUCCCCUUUGUCCACGAGAGCCUCCUUCACAGUUUGGUAUCCGCUGAGCACCACCACUCGCCUAGGCCCCAGGUACACGG